rnacentral:piRNA from 1 species
GGAUAAAGUGAAAAUUGUAGCCUG